GGCCCAAAUUUGAAGUAGAGUAGAUUAGAAAGAUCACCUGACUCUUCUAAACUACACUUAUUCAAUCUUGUGCCC
rfam:Haemonchus placei strain MHpl1 genome assembly, scaffold: HPLM_scaffold0001211